rnacentral:rRNA from 1 species
UCGAAUCUUUGAACGCACCUUGCGCUCCAUGGUAUUCCGUGGAGCAUGCCUGUUUGAGUGUCAUGAAUACUUCAACCCUCCUCUUUUCUAGUGAAAGAGAAGGUGCUUGGUUUCUGAGCGUUUUGCUGGCCUCACGGUCGAGCUCGCUCGUAAUGCAUUAGCAUCCGCAAUCGAACUUCGGAUUGACUUGGCGUAAUAGACUAUUCGCUGAGGAAUUCUAAUCUUCGGAUUAGAGCCGGGUUAGGUUAAAGGAAGCUUCUAAUCCUAAUGUCUAUAUUUUAAGAUUAGAUCUCAAAUCAGGUAGGACUACCCGCUGAACUUAAGC